CCGGCUCACAUGGCGGAUCCUUCUGCUUCCUGAGAGAAGCUUGCACAGGAUGUUGCCGUGAGCUCUAAACCCUCCGCUGGGUCCUUCAGGUCUCCAACGCUCAGACAGAAGUCUUGGACUCUUCUAUGUCUGACUCUAAGUGAGUUCUGGGCCUGUGAAGAAACCUUGCUGAUGAUUGGAAGGAGACUGUCAAGAGAGGUUACAGGACCAGGUAAUGAAAGGACUUUUACCAAGACCACAAGAGAGAUUCUGAGAGAAGCUAUUCUAGAAUGGCAAAUGCAACAGAAUAAAACAAGGAGAGAACUGUGAAGAGGUCAGUGGAUUUGACAAAGAACACCCUGCGGAUGGCUACAGAGAAAGGCAUCUUCUGAAGUUCUGGGAACAUAGACCCUGCAGUACAUUACAGCCCUUUCUGCAUUGCUUCAGCUGUAUCCUAAAACUUUCGCUGUGAACUCCUGCCCUUCUGCUACCCUGCCUCGGAGCCAGCCAACUAUGGACUGAAACA